rnacentral:rRNA from 1 species
UACUAGAGUAGCACUCGCAUAUCAAUAAGCGGAGGAAAAGAAACUAACAAGGAUUCCCCUAGUAACGGCGAGUGAAGCGGGAAGAGCUCAAAUUUGAAAUCUUAAAGGGUUUCCCUUUACGAAUUGUAGUUUAAAGAAGUGUUUUCUGUUGAGGUUUCGGUAAAAGUUCUUUGGAAUAGGACAUCAUAGAGGGUGAGAAUCCCGUAUUUGACCUUUACUUUCAACUUUGUGAUACACUUUCAAAGAGUCGGAUUGUUUGGGAAUGCAGUCCAAAAUGGGUGGUAAAUUUCAUCUAAAGCUAAAUAUUGGCGAGAGACCGAUAGCGAACAAGUACCGUGAGGGAAAGAUGAAAAGAACUUUGAAAAGAGAGUUAAACAGUACGUGAAAUUGUCAAAAGGGAAGCGUUUGACACCAGUGUUGUUUUUCUGAAAAUCAAUUAAAGAACUGUUUAUGCUAAGUUGUUUAGACUUUAUCAGCUAACUGUUAGUUUUGAGCUUUUCUUUAAUGCACUUUUCAGUUAACAAGUCAACAUCAAUUUCUUUUGCUGUAAAAAAGCUCGAGGAAGGUGGCUUGAGAUUCGUCUUAAGUGUUUAUAGCCUCUUGCCUAUGCAGUCGGAGAGAUUGAGGUCUGCAGCGUAGAUCCUUCGGGGCUAAAUGCAUUUGUGCUAAGUUAUAGCACUUUAUAGACAACUUGUUGACUAUGAUUUGUCUUGUAGCUUACUCGCUUAUGUUAUUUUACCUACGCUUAGGAUGUUGAAGACUCUACAGAGAUA